CAAGCGUGAACUAUCAACUAAUGUCAAUUGUCAAUCUUCGUUAUUUAAUAAUAUAUCCUUUGCCUUUCCCAUUAGGGAUAAAUUGAAAAAAAAAAUUUAAUAAUAUAAGUUAUUUCGGAAGUUUACAUUUUUUUAUUAUUAUACCUAUGAUUAUUGUUUUGUGACUAUUACCUAAGUAAUAAUUAAGCCAGGUCCUAUAUCAAUGAAAUAACUAGAUUUAACUAUUAAAAAAAUGUUACCUGAAACAGAACUGUGUAAAAAACAACUGGCAAGAGCAAAAUUACGAGAGUCAUUUCUUAGAUCUGUUAUGGAAUUAAAAGGGAAAGAUUGUAAAAUUCUAACAUAUGAAAAAUCAAUGUUGGAAGCUACAUUUUGUGGUUGGAAUCCAGAUGGCUCAGAGAUACUUGUUCAAAAUAUGAAAACACCUGCACAUUUACAAAUGGAUUCUGCUAUUUUAAGAGCACCGGAUAUUCUCUCAAUUACCUUUGUAAAUGGUACGGAAGAAAGUUAAAACAUACCACUUAUUCUGUAUCUAUCAUGCUCUAGUCCAGUCUAAGUAAAACUGGUUACUGUUUAUAUAAAAGUAAUAAAUUGAAAAGAAAAUAACAUCAUUAGAUUAAGACUAUGGAUCAGCAUUAUAAUUGUUUCAAAUUGUCAUACAAUUUGUCUAUUAGAUCAGAUUGUAAUUGAUACAAGGGAAUUAUGAUCUAGAAAUUUUAUAAACUGUUUCAAUUAAUUGUAUUUGUGAUUUGUGCAAACAUAUAGUUAGUUAUUUCUAAGCUGAAAUAAAAUUUAGUAAGGUAGUAUUUGUAUGUUUCCUUAAAAGAUUAAGACUUAAAUUUUGAAUAAGACAGACUGAACAUAAGAUCUCUACUUUCUUUUACUAUACACUAGCAUAUUAGUGUGAGAAGCAUUUUUUAUUAUAUUAUGUUUGUUUAUCUGCACAGGAGUAGAAAAAAAAUUCUACAAUCCUUCUUAAAAAUAUUUUAAAUAUGGGAAAUGCUGUUAAACUGAAAAUUUGAAUAUUAUAUUAGUUAUUGUUAACCUUUUUGAUGACAUACCAAACAUUUAAAGGAAAAGGAAUGAAGGAUAGGAAGAGCUUAGGAAGCCCUAAGUCUUAAGGACGUCAUUAAGGCUUAAUAUGCUAUAAAUAUUAAAAUGUUUCAAAAAUGACUAUAAUAAUAUAAUAGUAUGUAUAAUUAUUUUGAUGUUUUUGUAUAAGAUUAGAUUGUUUUUAGGUUCUCUGAAAAGUAAAUGGUUAUGUGUUAAUAAAAAUAAUAAAUGAAACAGAAACCGAAUUGUGCAUAUAACCCUUGGUUGUACGCACAAUUUGGUUAACAUAACUGAAAGUUUAUAACACUGUUGUAUUCGGUAAAGUUAAGGAAAAUAAAGUAAAGCAACAAUCAA